rnacentral:rRNA from 1 species
AACAGCUGCGGUAUUAUAACUGUACUAAGGUAGCAUAAUAAUUUGCCUUAUAAAUUAAGGCUAGAAUGAAUGGUUUGACGAAAAUUAAUCUGUCUCUAUUAUAAUUAUUAGAAGUUAAUGUUUAUAGUGAAAAAGCUUAAAUUAUUUAAAGGGACGAGAAGACCCUAUUGAGCUUGAUAUUAAAAUAUAAAUUUUUUUUUAAAGUUAAUAUAAAUUAUGUUUAUGGGUUUUAAAUUUUGAUUGGGGUGAUCAAGGAAUAAAAAAGAUUAAUGUAUAUAUAUUAACUUCCUUAUAUAUAAAUAUUUAUAGAUAAAUAAACCGAGAGUUUUGCUUAAAAGUAAGUUACCAUAGGGAUAACAGCGUAAUUUUUUUAGAGAGUUCUUAUUAAAAAAAAAGAUUGCGACCUCGAUGUUGGAUUAAAAUUACCUUUGGGUGCAGAAGCUCAAAUAGGUGA